rnacentral:lncRNA from 1 species
AUGGAGUUGGCAUUAGUGGCACCAGUGGCAGUUGAGCUGGUCUGCAGCAGCAAGUACCAACAUUUAUAGAAUGAGGAAGAGCCUGAGGAACCUGAGAAGGCUUCAGGUGAGGUUCCUCCACCUUAUGGCAUCAACUCUGCAGAGAGUAUGGUAUAUUUGACUACACAGAUGAGUCUAAUUUUCCAAAGCCCCCAUUUUACAAUGUGGUUGCAAACAUUACCAAUUUAUAAUAAAGUCAUGAGAAUCAAGGCUGAAGCUCUUUCUUUGGUUCCUGGAAGAGAUGAGGAUUUUGUGGGACAGGAUGAUUUUGAUGAUGCUGACCAGCUGAGGAUAGGAAUUUUUUUUGGUUAACUUUUGUCCUGGCAUUCUUCUUAACUGGGUUAAGUUCUUUUCCUGUCUUUUUGCCUCACUGCUUCAGUGGCAGAAAGGUAUGACACCAUUUCAGAAUUUGGUCUCUUUCUAAUUAAGUGGGUCCUGAGAGUCAAAUUUCUAACCUGUUUUCCUUGAUACUUUGAUGGUCAGCAC